rnacentral:rRNA from 1 species
ACUCCUACGGGAGGCAGCAGUGGGGAAUAUUGCACAAUGGGCGCAAGCCUGAUGCAGCAACGCCGCGUGAGUGAUGAAGGCCUUCGGGUCGUAAAACUCUGUCCUAAGGGAAGAUAAUGACGGUACCUUAGGAGGAAGCCCCGGCUAACUACGUGCCAGCAGCCGCGGUAAUACGUAGGGGGCAAGCGUUAUCCGGAAUUACUGGGCGUAAAGGGUGCGUAGGUGGCCUGACAAGUCAGGGGUCAAAGGCAACGGCUCAACCGUUGUAAGCCCUUGAAACUGUCGGGCUUGAGUUCAGGAGAGGAAAGCGGAAUUCCUAGUGUAGCGGUGAAAUGCGUAGAUAUUAGGAGGAACACCAGUGGCGAAGGCGGCUUUCUGGACUGAUACUGACACUGAGGCACGAAAGCGUGGGGAGCAAACAGGAUUAGAUACCCUGGUAGUC